GCCACGGUUCGCCUGCCAAUCUCCGGCAGACCCUCCCUCCCAGACCCUCCUACUUCAUGGACAGCAUCCAUGUUGAAGGCAGCUUCAACAUGGAUGCUGUCCAGGAGGUGGGAGGGUCUGGGAGGGAGGGUCUGCCGGUGAUUGGCCGGGAUGUGUCAG